rnacentral:misc_RNA from 1 species
UCCGAGUUGACCCCGGCAGUCUCCUAUGAGUCCCCACCAUCACGUGCUGGCAACAUAGAACGAGGGUUGCGCUCGUUGCGGGACUUAACCCAACAUCUCACGACACGAGCUGACGACAGCCAUGCAGCACCUGUGUUACGGCUCUCUUUCAAGCACCCCUGCAUCUCUGCAGGGUUCCGUACAUGUCAAGGGUAGGUAAGGUUUUUCGCGUUGCAUCGAAUUAAUCCACAUCAUCCACCGCUUGUGCGGGUCCCCGUCAAUUCCUUUGAGUUUUAAUCUUGCGACCGUACUCCCCAGGCGGUCAACUUCACGCGUUAGCUGCGGUACUAGGAAAUCGCUUCCCCAACACCUAGUUGACAUCGUUUAGGGCGUGGACUAC